rnacentral:lncRNA from 1 species
UCUCCAAGUCUGAGCUGGAUACCAUUGACUCCCAGCAUCGAGUGCAUGAAGAUAUUGAAAUGACCAAGACUCAAUCCAUUUAUGAUGACAUGAAGAACCACAGGGAAAGCAACUCUAAUCAAUGUGUCUAUGCUGCACACAACUCUGUCAUAGUAGAUGAAUGCAAGGUAACUCUGGCAGCCAAUGGAAAGUCAGCCGACUGCAGUGUUGAGGAAGAACCUUGGAAACGUGAGAAAUAAGGAUAUGAGUCUCAGCAAAUUCUUGAAUAAACUCCCCAGCGUAUCCUAUGGUAACUGAUGAUAUAAACAAGCUUUCUUUAAAAAGGAAAAAAAUGCGUAUAUUUCUAUGUUUACUUAAUCUGUUAGCCGAGGCUUAGAGGAGCUCUUGUGAGUCAGUGAUGACAGGCACGGUGCUGUGUCUUUGCCAAAUAAUGCUUUAUAACCGUCUAAUUUUCUCACUUGUAUUAUUAUUUGAAUGGAUGCUGCUGGAGGAAUCAGUUGGAAUUGAAGACACGUUCUUGCCAGCUUCCCUUUUCUCCCAAGAUGCAGAAAUGUGGAUGCUCUUUUCCCAGGGGACAUGAGUAAAGCAGUGUGGUACACUCCAGGGACUUGGGAAAAUGAGCAAACACACAGCGUGUUAUUCCUUAAAGUGUUCUCCAUGUCUCGCCUUGUUAUGCACAAGAGAUUCUAUUAAAAGCCUCUAGAAGUAACUCCCCUUAAAAUGUCUAGUAAAGCUUGCACAUGGAUUGAUUAAAAGCAAAUACCUGUCUUAGGGAAUUCUGACAAUUUAUCUUCCAUAUGCUCUUUAAGUAAAAUGUUUCAAAGACAGUUUUAAAGGGAGCCAUGCUCUUAAAGGCAGUUGAUUAAAGAACCUGUUACAUCUCUGCCUUACCCUGUGUAAUCUGUGAGAACAAUGGUUGAAAUUUCAAAGUAUGUUUCAUUAUUCUUUCUAAAUUUGAUAAUUGAUUAGGAAGUAUUUUAUAUAUAACCACUGUAGAUAUUGACAAAAGUAAGAGAGCACAGUCAACAUAAAGUUUAACCAGAGUUAAAUAUUCAAAUUUAUUUAUGUUCGGUUUGCCUUCACCUGGUGUAGUAAAAUCAAAUGAGAUUAUUUGGUAUGUGUUUUGCUUUGUUUAACCCAAAAGAUUAUUUUUUG